UACCUUGCUAUCCUUACCUAAGGCUCUGAAAUAAGCAUUUUUCCUAUUUCUUUUACAUCAACAGAUGAAUAUAUUGUGCUCAGAGAAAAGACACUAGGAAGGUAAUAGCAGAAAACAAUAAUCCCCUUUGUUAUGGUUUUUGCCUAUUCUCACAUUUCAGAUUUUCCUCUAAGACCAAGAACAAAAACAUGGAAAAUGUUAAUACUUUUAAGUGCUUCCAACUUACAUUCACACCAAAAGUCCUUAAUGAGUUCUUGGCACCACAUAUACAUUUUAGAAUCAUUUUAUGAUGGCCUAGUGUAAUUUAAUUAUGUACAACAAAUUUGUUCAGCAAGGACAACAAGGAAAUAUUUUAAUGCUUUUUAUUGCAAUGUCAACUCAUUUUUGUACACUCUGUCUACAGUUCUUUCGUCAGAGCUGGCUUGGAAAUUCAUCAUAUAAAGUACUACAGAAAAAUAUCUUACCAGAGUCAGUACACUGUCUUUUACAUUCAUCCAAAAUCGCUUCUCCAUUUGCCUAUCUAAACUGUUAUACUCUCUGUCUUAAUUUACUUGGGAGUUUUCCAAUGUCUUGACAUUGUAGUUUGGCUUUUUGAAUUGUCUUCUUCCCUUCCUGCUUGUUUUGGUGACUUAUUCAUAGCCUCUUCUCUGCAUCACAAAAUUCUGCCAUCCUAUUCAGUUAACACUCUUCUCAGAUAUUUUGAUUUUUAUAUGAUUUCCUUCAAGUUCUGCAAGAGCCGUGGUUACUAUUCUUGGUGCAAGUAACACUAGGUGUUCACUGGUCUUGACAGUUUUCAGUUUUGAAGGUUGGAAAGUCCCAUGUCAAGGCACUAGCGGAUUCAGCAUCUCGUAAGGGCUCUCUCUUGCUUCAAAGACUGUGCUUUCUCAUUGCAUCUUCACCCGGGGUCAAGAUCAUCAAUAUCACUGUCUUCCACCUCCACGUUUUGUGUCACUGGAAGGUCUUCAGGGACAAUAAAAGCUCCAUUAUAAUCUUAUGUCUUAUGGGACCACCGUUGCAUAUGCAGACUGUCAUUAUGUGGUCUAUGACUGUAUUUCCAAACACUUCAAAUGCAAAAGGAAAGGCAAAGUGGGUAAUACCAAGACGGCCCAAUGUUUAGGACACAACAAGGGCUAGGUCUCCAGGUUAUGCUCCCAAGGUAGCCGAGAGGCCGGUGCUUCAUCUUCCUAGGUAGUUAAUUUCAACGAAGAAUGAAACCCAAGGACCCUGCAGACUGUCUGGCUCAUGGAGAGAUUCUAUUUGCAUGUGACAUCCAAGAUACUCAUGUAGAAAAACAAAAUCCCAUUGGCUCUUAUCACAUCAUAUCAUAUCAGGGGUAAGGC
rnacentral:lncRNA from 10 species